rnacentral:rRNA from 1 species
GCCCUUUGGUUUGGAAUAACACGAGGAAACUUGUGCUAAUACCGGAUAAGCCUUCACAGGGAAAGCUUUAGCGCCAAAGGAUGAGCUCGCACUUGAUUAGCUAGUUGGUAGGGUAAUGGCCUACCAAGGCAACGAUCAAUAGCUGUUCUUAGAGGAAGACCAGCCACAUUGGGACUGAGACACGGCCCAAACUCCUACGGGAGGCAGCAGUGGGGAAUCUUGCACAAUGGGGGAAACCCUGAUGCAGCGAUGCCGCGUGAGUGAAGAAGGCCUUUGGGUUGUAAAGCUCUUUCGUCGGGGAAGAAAAUGACUGUACCCGAAUAAAAAGGUCCGGCUAACUUCGUGCCAGCAGCCGCGGUAAUAC